CCUACGGGUGGCAGCAGUAGGGAAUAUUGCGCAAUGGGGGAAACCCUGAAGCAGCAACGCCGCGUGGAGGAUGAAGGCUUUCGGAUUGUAAACUCCUUUUGUUAGAGAAGAUAAUGACGGUAUCUAACGAAUAAGCACCGGCUAACGCCGGGCCAGCAGCCGCGGUAAUACGGAGGGUGCAAGCGUUACUCGGAAUCACUGGGCGUAAAGAGCGCGUAGGCGGGAUAGCAAGUCAGAUGUGAAAUCCUAGGGCUUAACCAUAGAACUGCAUUUGAAACUGUUAUUCUAGAGUAUGGGAGAGGUAGGUGGAAUUCUUGGUGUAGGGGUAAAAUCCGUAGAGAUCAAGAGGAAUACUCAUUGCGAAGGCGACCUGCUAGAACAUAACUGACGCUGAUGCGCGAAAGCGUGGGGAGCAAACAGGAUUAGAUACCCCGGUAGUC
rnacentral:rRNA from 1 species